rnacentral:lncRNA from 1 species
AUAAGACAAAAAGGGGAAAGUGUUAGUGAUUCUGCUUUAUUCUACACCAAUGCCAGCAGGUUGUGAUUGCACCUUGAGAUAUUAGACUAUGUCCAGGAGAACUGGAGGAACAAGGCUGUUACCACAAGAGUGGGCUACGAGAAGAAGAGGGUGUUUAAGUGCAUUGCAAGUAAACUGGAAUGAACCAAAGGAACACCUAGUCCAUUAUUUUCAUUUUCUACUUCUAAAUGAGACAAGCUGUAUUUUCCUGUGCUUUCAACUCAUGGUUUGAACCAUGCAGGUGAUUUCUAAGGGAGAUCCAGAAGUCCGGGAGAAAAACCCAUUGAGUCAGGAUGUAACUGAGUUGAAGAAAUUCUUAUGUAAGGUGAUAGCAAUACUUGCAAAACUUAAAUACUGAUUAAUAUAUUUGAAAUUGAAGCUGAACUUUGCAAAAGUGAUGGAAAUAGCAACCUGGAGCACCCUGAGAAGUCUAAAGAAUGACCUUUCAUGCAAAAGAAUAGCUUUGAUGCAAAGACUUUAUUGGGUAUGAGAAGUCAGAGCAGAUUGCUUUCCCAGCCUCUGAUGUCUGAGUGAACUGGCAAUUGGACAGUUUUUUGAGGAAUUUUAUGCUAUGCAAACUUUGAUGAGCCUGGAGUUUCUUAAUGAUGGUGAUCUUCAGGAUGAUUUAUGGAACUGACAAAUAAGCAUCAGAAAGAAAUUAAAAGGAUGACAAAGGAGAAAGAAUUGGGAAGUGAAUGACUAGGAAUGUGGAUUAAAUGAGGCUUUGUCAUAUGUUCCUAGCCUUUUUUUAAACCACAGAAAACAAGAGGAGAAAGGUCAGAUAAUCCUUACUCACAGGAUACAAAAACCCCAUUUCCUCUGAAGGAAAAAUCCUAAGCUCAUUUCUCUGAAACAAUAAGACUCAUUUGUCCCACAUGAAUGGCUGGGAAGGUAGGGGAGAGAAGGGCAUUUCCCAUGUCCAACUGAAAUGUUCCAGCCCUGCUGACGCUGCAGAACUUAACCAAGGAGGAAUUAGCUACAACUAACACAGCCCAUUCACUGGCAGUUUGGAAGCAGCCAUCCAUCAGUGUGGGCUGAAAUACAACUAAGAAUUAAUAAAAACACAUGAAAGACACCUCCA